rnacentral:lncRNA from 1 species
UAAAUGUUUGUAACCUGGCUUCCCUCUUCUCCAGUGGUAUAAAGAAUUGUGCCGCUUUAAGGUUUGGGUUUUUUUCUCUCCAGUAAAAAUUUUGGUACCUUAUUUGAUGUUUACAUUAAAAUGUGACAUUAUACGUGGCAAUUCAAAUAUUUUGCUAGCUGUCUUGUUUGAGGAACACCAUUAAAGAAGAAAUAUAAUGUUUGUCAAAAAUGUAUCAAAAUUCAUCAGAAUCUGGGGCAGAAAACUACCCUUGUUUUUCAUGUCUUUCAAUUCUUCUAAAAUACCCCUUAUUGAACUUGUACACAAUAUAAAAUUUAAAUAGCCAUCUUAAAUAUUCUACCAUCUAAAAAUUGCUUUGAAUGAAUUUUGGUAAAAUCCAAAGGAAGAUGUUUACCCUCUUGAAACUUAUGGUCUUGUCACACAUUUAAAGCAAUAUAUGUCCUUAUUUUCCUGACCUUGUAAUACUACUUUUAUAUUUCAGAGGUAUCUCGAAACUACAAUAUAAACUUUUAAAAAAAAAUAAGAUGAGGCUGGGGAACCUUUCGAAUGAACCCAAUCUUCCUGAUGAUCCAUUCAAAAACAGGUUUUUGGAAGACCACUUUCGAUAGGCAAUCCUAUAAUCAAAGUACAUUUUUAAAAUCAGGUUGUAAAAUGGCAAAGGUAAAGAAAAAUUACUGACAUUUCUUCUAUGAUUGGAGUUUAGUUUAUGUUGGCCAGCUACAACCCCUUUUAAUCCUCAGACAGUUUGGGAUAAAAGAGUGCCUUUGGUUAAUGGUUAGCAAGCUCCAGGAUAAGCGCUGCGUGCCUCUUGUAUUCAGCUCUACCUUUCUGCUAAGAGUGCGGUUCAUUUGUGUGUGGCUUUGCGUUCCAGGCUGUGGGUCUCUGUGUAAGGUGGCAGACAUAGACUUGUAAACUGCAGACGUGUUAAUGGUUAGCAUAAAUCACAGCUGGAAAACUGAGCCGGCAAGUUACAGCACCACUCUUUCUCUGUAUGAUGUCAGAUCACCACAUUUAGCAAUGUCAAAUUUUACUCAACAUUCUUUAGUAGGAAGAAAAGAAGAAAAAGUUUUGCCACGUAGCUAUGUGCUUUUAAGUCUGUGACAAAACUCAAGACAUAUCCGAAUGAAAAUUAGAUCUCUCUGAUGUGAGGAUGUUAUGGAAAAUAAUUUUCCCAUCAGUGAUUAUCCACCCCCCAGCCCCCAUAUACAGGACUACAACGCAAGCUAGAUAAAUGUUCAAAAGCAAUCUGAUAAUAUGAAGACAGAAUUGUCAAGUCAGGGCUUUCAGUUGACCCCUUGUCAUGAGGUUAUUGCCUAAUUUUCUGUUUUCUAUACUUGAAUCUUUAAAAAAUAUCAGUUUUUAAAUUAUUUAUAUUUAUAUUUAGUUAAGGGUCAUGGGGUCGUGUAUGCACCCCAUCACCUUAUAUAAAUAUGUUGAUGAUGGAAGCUUUGGAUAAGGAAGCUAUUAAGUUGUCAUGACAUCCUUGUUCUAAGCAGUUAUUUCUAAAAACUAAAAAUAAUAGCUACUUAUUGGCCCACCGCUCUGCUGUGAGUAUAUGAGUACUUCUCAUUCCUUAUUUCCAUAGCCAGUCAAGGAUUCUAACGCUGCUUCCAUCUGAUACUCUUCUUAGAUUCUGCAUCAAAUGCUUAUUUUGACUUACAACAAGCUUACUCUUCCUCAGCAUUACAUAAUGCCAUCUUUCCAACCAUGCUUUAAAGAACCUGCUCUUUACGCAUAGUAUCUUAUAACAUUUUGAACACGUCUUGUGUAAGAAUCAUUGCAAGUUUCCAUCAAAAUGAGGCGUGUCUUCUGAGUACAGCUGAUGUUCUUUGGGUAUUACUUGAGUAGUAGUAGCAAGUACCCAUAAAUCAGAUUUAUGAAACAUAACUUAUAUGCUAGGUUCAACCCUUAUAUAUGCAUAUAUAUGUAUAGUAUAUGUAUAUAAAAUUUUUUUCCAGAAAACUUGAUGAUAGCUCUCAGAUAAUACCAAGUAUUACCAGCUUCCAUUUCUUCAGAGCAGAUUUUUUUCUAAGUGAGGUUAAUUGUUCACAUAAUGUCUUUUUACAUCUUUGUCCUUUGUAUCACUCUGAAGUUUUCUUUUUCUUGCCAGAAUAUUUGUUUCACUUUUUAAUUUCAGUGCUACUUGAGAUUUUCUUUUUUUUUAACCUGAAAGACGAUAUUUUGGAUGAUAGAGUUUGUAAAGUGAGCCUUCAUGCUGAAAAAAUUCUUUUCAUGAUCUAAAAAUGGUCUUUUGUUACGAUUUGAAGAACCUCAUUCCGUGUAACAUGGAUAUUUUCUUGUGUGUCUUUAAAGGGGGUUUUGGUUGUCAUUUGGGCAUAUGCUUUGCCAAAUUGUUAUAGCAGAACUUUGUUUUUGAUUAAUCAGUAGUUAAUUAUUGACCAUUUAAACUAACAUGACCUUAAUUUUCCUUUCCUCACACAGAUGUGCUUUCUAUCCAGGUCAUUUUUUACACGUGAAAUAACAAACUGCUUUGUGUAGAUUUUUUUUUUUUUUAAAUCAUCAGAUUUUAGAAUAAGUUUAGGUUUAAUGUAAACAUCAACUGGUCUUUUCAGUUCAGAGAACUGCAGAAUAAGUAAAAUAAGCAGAAUUCCCACUGAAUAAGCAUUACCUAAUUAAACAUAGCAACAUCUAAGACCAAUUUAUGAAAAUACUCUCCUUUUUUAUGGAGGCAUUGGAGCUGCUGAGAAAGCUAAUGAAUUUCCCAACUUUGGGAUAAUUAAUAUAUAGUAUUGUGUUGCUCUAGUGUAGUUGAUUUUAUGUGUUUAAUAUUUUUCAUGUCAAGAGCAAAGCUGCAGACGUAAAAGAUGUUUCUCUAGCCCCCUUAGCUAGAGCGAGCCACCUUUGUUAAGAGUCAGGGUGUGAAGAACAAUUUCAAGAUAAAUUUUAGUAUUUCAACCAUUGUUAUUAAGAAAAUUAGACUUACUGAAAUACUCAUUUAAAAACAGACACCUUCUAUAGCAUUGUUUUAUAGUGGAGUUAUUUUUAAAAAGGGAAUCCCAGAAAGAAUCUAUAAAAAUACAAGGUUAAAACUUUAAAUGUAUUGAAAGAUACAAAUUGGUGCUUUCAAAUGUCAUGUAAGCUAGCCAUUGUGUUUUUUUUUUUCCCUCCAGCUCCUCAAUGGUAGUAAUUUGUCUUUUAUGAUUUACCGUACAUUAUUUCUUGCUCACCAUCCCCUUAACAUAUGAAAAUCCUUAAUUUCUACUGCCGCGCUAUAUGUCUUCCUGAAUCUCAAGGUAUAAAUGUCUUAAUGGAUCUGAUUUGUCUCCACUCUUUGCCAUCUGAUCCACAUUCAAACCGCCUAGAAAUUAGAAAGAAUAGGUAAUGUUCUAUCUACGAUUUCUUGUUCAAAAUAUCACGUAGUGGUGCCAAUCACUUACAAAGACACCAUCUCCAUCUUGAAAGAGUAACUGGCAUGUUAGUCUUGAAAAUGCUCAUUAUGAUAUGCUCCUCACAUUUCCCAUCUGCUUGAGGAUGGACAUUUAUUAGCUGAGACUUUAAAGCUGCUAAAUUCACACUUUCUACUUUCAUACCUUUUUAAUCAGUAAUGUCAAGACCAUUGUUGCAAGGAGUGAAUCUUACUAAACACAUCCUGUUAUUACUUUAAACUAGAAUAUGAGAUUCAAGAGAUUUAAAAACAAUUUUAAUGUAACGUUUAAAAUUUUUGAACCAAUUGAGAAUGUCUACUUUGGAGUGAAGUUUAAGGAAACAGUCACCAGAGUUUCUAAAAAUUUUUUGGAGGGAGGUACCUAAUAGAAGAAUCUAGACUUAGAAAUGUGAACUGUGGUUAAAUACCAAACCCAGUUCCGCAGUGGUCGUCUAAAGCGUCUAAAACUGGAGUGUUAAGAAAACCCAGAGACAUUCAUAUAGUUUCAGUUAUCAGAGUAUUAGACCAGACUUUAUUUGCAAUUUGUUCAACAGAGAGAUUUUAUUUUGAUACAGAUAUUAAGCAUAAAGCAUAGUAAGUUUUAUAUAAUUCUAUGAGUUCAUUAAACAAUAUUAUGAAAUUUUCAUUAUGUUCGUGGGGAGUCUUUUUAACUGUUUCUACCUCAUAUAUGAGGUCUCUUCUGUAUUUUACUUUGCAUACUAGCAUGUGAUUGCCUGCCUUAGAACUAUGUAGAGGAGGGGAAAUCGAUAUUACCUUUUAAGAAAUUUUUGAUUUUAUGAAGUGUUUUCAUUAAUACUUUUUUAAUGUUUGAGAAGUAAAGGGGAAAGGGUGGCAAAUUACAUAGGUUGCAACACAGAGUAGAAGUCACAUAGUACUAUUUACAGAUCUGUCCUGUUUUAAGAUUUGAGAAUUGUGAACAGGAUGGAGCAAUGGUUCUCAAACUUCAGCCAGUAUCAGAAUUGCCUCGAGGUCUUGUUAAAAUUCAGAUAGCUGGACCCACCCCCAGCAUUUCUGAUUUUGGUCUGGAGCCUGAUGAUUUGCAUUUCCAACAAGUUUCCAGGCGAUGCUGAUGCUGCCAGUCCAGGAACCACACUUUGAAAAUCACUGGGUCUGAUUCUCGCAGUUUGAAAGUCUCAGAGACCUUCAGAGUCUGAACGUCUUUUCAACCAUGUAUUUAUUUACUCAGUGUAAAAAACUGAUCUCUGGAGACAUUUUUAUAAAUCUGGUGCCAUGACUGGAACAUUUGUGGAGAAAGGUCUCCAUGGAGCGACAGGCCCUUUGGAUUGGCCACCACCCCUCCUCACUCUCACCCCUGCUGGGGUCUGCACUGCUCUUCCGCAGUAGGGUGAAGGAGCUCUUUGGUUUUAGGGUGAGUUUGCUUUUGUGUACGCUGCUGCCUGGACAUCAGUCUGGAAGCUGUGCAUUUGUUUGGUGUGCUUAGGGUCAAUCUUGAUCCACAUGCAUGGAAGUGAGAAUCCUGGAAAGAAGCCAUCAGAAUGCCAUGAGAGUGCACCUAGCAUGUAUCGAGGCACUAAGUGCAGGAGUCCCUGUCCUAAGAUGGCAGUGACAUGGAGCAUCGAAAACCACAGAUAAUCCUUAAAUAAUAAAAUAAUAGUUUUGUUUUUUUUUCUUCGGGGCAGAGUCUCGCUCUGUUGCCCUGGCUGGAGUACAGUGGCAUGAUCUCGGCUCACUGCAACCUCCGCCUCCCGGCUUCAAGUGAUUCUCCUGCCUCAGCCUCCCAAGUAGUUGGGACUACAGGCAUGCGCCACCACGCCCAGCUAAUUUUUGUAUUUUUUAGUAGAGACGGGGUUUCACCGUGUUGGCCAGGAUGGUCUCCAUCUCUUGACCUCAUGAUCUGCCCGCCUCGGGCUCCCAAAGUGUUGGGAUUACAGGCAUGAGCCACUGCGCCUGGCAAAUGUUUUAGUUUUUAUGGUUAUUAUUAUUUUUUUUUUUUGUGGGGGAGGGUGGUGAGGGCAAAGGAUUUGUUUUUCAAAUUAUGUGUUUCUCAGGUUAACAAAGUUAUUUUAGAUUCUCUGCCAUGCCAGCAGGUGUUAGAGAGAGCCUGAAGUGUUACAUAUGGCAGAAAAUAAAUGUCUCUGAUUACUUUGCUACCUUUAAAAAAAUCUAUAUGUGUUUGCAAAACAGCCUAGGGGGAUCUACCACCUACACAGCAUGAAUUAUUCAUAAGUCAUAGGUGCACAUGUAUGAGCAAGUUAUUUUUGAGAAAGAAACUGCCUAUAAUAUAAUAAACCUGUCAGGUCUUUGGGUAUUGUUUAAUUUGUGUGUUGUUGCUGUUUUAUCUGGACUGCAUCUUGGGGGGUACUGGGCUCUGCUUCUGGUUUUUAGUUUGCCUUUGAAUUUACUGAGCUACUAGAAAGACAAAAAAAAGCUAUUUUUAUGGUAAUAGAAUACAGAAUGACUUAGGUGUAAAAGUACACGUGAAGACCAUCGUAGAAUAUACAGCUUUGGAGUUUUCUUAAGACACAGUCCUUCCUACUGAAAAGGCUUGCUCACCUUUGGAGAGGAUUGUUUAUAUUUUCAGCCUGGGUUCCUUUAUGCAGUCCCAACUUAGAGGGGAGCUUCGGUUUAUUUACACUUUGCUUUGCACGAUAACUUGUAUGCGAAGACCUCUUUAUAUCUUUCAGUAGGUCAGAGGGCUCUUUGUCCUGGUUGAAGUCCCAAAGUGUCAGUGCAGCUGAGAAUGUUUCUCAGCCUCCCCCUUUACAGAGGAAGGGUCCUGGAUUUUCAUAAAUCCAGACCAUGCCUGCUUCCUAUAAAUCCAUGUAUAUGACAUUGUACUGUAUCUGAUUUCUGUGCCAGUCAUCUGACCUGAUUCUUUAAACCCCAUAAAGGUACUGGCUAUAUGUAGUAGUUGUAUCCUAGGUAAAUAUGGUGAUUAAAAUACUUCUCUUCUAAAUUAUAAAGAUAAUGAGUUUUGCAUUUUAUUAAAGGGUCCUGUUAUUAGUGACACAGGAUUUUUUUUUAAUGCUUCAUACAUAUAGUUCUUAUCUAAACUUGUUCAGCUAACUUCAUAGAUCAGUUACUUAGCAAAUUCAUACUGAGUCUUAUUUUGGGAAGUCUUCCUGAGGGAAGCUGUACAAAACUGAGGUGGUCAGGUUCAUCUCUUCAAAGUACCAGUUAUACAGCCAUCUAAAUAGGCAUAACUUAUGGCAAAAUUAUAACAAUUUUUUUUCUUUGCAGUAAAUGAUACCUCAUCUAAGAGGCUCUAAUACCUAAAGAGUUUAUCCUUAAAAGUAAAAGUGACUUUGUACCAUAAAAUAACCCCAAAGCCACUCUCUAGGGUUUUUAUUUUCUUCUUUCUUUGUCUUUAUCUUUUCUAACUUAGUUUUGGAAUUACGUUAGCUACUUUGGUUCCAUAGAACAAGUUUUCAACUUGGGGUCUACAGUUCCUACAGUGUGCUCAUUGUCUCAGUGAAGUUCUUUUGUUUUCAAAGAUUCAUGGUAACAAAAUGUAUUUUACUGCUACAACUAAAAUGUAUUUAUAAUAAAAUGCCUUUUUAAUAAUUUGGA